AUUGAACGCUGGCGGCAGGCCUAACACAUGCAAGUCGAGCGGAUGAAGAGAGCUUGCUCUCUGAUUUAGCGGCGGACGGGUGAGUAAUGCCUAGGAAUCUGCCUGGUAGUGGGGGAUAACGUUUCGAAAGGAACGCUAAUACCGCAUACGUCCUACGGGAGAAAGCAGGGGACCUUCGGGCCUUGCGCUAUCAGAUGAGCCUAGGUCGGAUUAGCUAGUUGGUGAGGUAAUGGCUCACCGAGGCUACGAUCCGUAACUGGUCUGAGAGGAUGAUCAGUCACACUGGAACUGAGACACGGUCCAGACUCCUACGGGAGGCAGCAGUGGGGAAUAUUGGACAAUGGGCGAAAGCCUGAUCCAGCCAUGCCGCGUGUGUGAAGAAGGUCUUCGGAUUGUAAAGCACUUUAAGUUGGGAGGAAGGGCAGUAAGUUAAUACCUUGCUGUUUUGACGUUACCGGCAGAAUAAGCACCGGCUAACUUCGUGCCAGCAGCCGCGGUAAAAC
rnacentral:rRNA from 1 species